rnacentral:rRNA from 1 species
AACGAACGCUGGCGGCAUGCCUAACACAUGCAAGUCGAACGAGACCUUCGGGUCUAGUGGCGCACGGGUGCGUAACGCGUGGGAAUCUGCCCUUGGGUUCGGAAUAACUUCGGGAAACUGAAGCUAAUACCGGAUGAUGACGUAAGUCCAAAGAUUUAUCGCCCAAGGAUGAGCCCGCGUAGGAUUAGCUAGUUGGUGAGGUAAAGGCUCACCAAGGCGACGAUCCUUAGCUGGUCUGAGAGGAUGAUCAGCCACACUGGGACUGAGACACGGCCCAGACUCCUACGGGAGGCAGCAGUGGGGAAUAUUGGACAAUGGGCGAAAGCUUGAUCCAGCAAUGCCGCGUGAGUGAUGAAGGCCUUAGGGUUGUAAAGCUCUUUUACCAGGGAUGAUAAUGACAGUACCUGGAGAAUAAGCUCCGGCUAACUCCGUGCCAGCAGCCGCGGUAAUACGGAGGGAGCUAGCGUUGUUCGGAAUUACUGGGCGUAAAGAGUACGUAGGCGGUGA